rnacentral:tRNA from 1 species
GGCUAAAUAACAUAAUGGUAAUGUAGAGGACUGCAAAUCCUUUAAUGACGGUUCAAUUCCGUCUUUAGCUU